CACACAACCACUCAAACGACGGGCAAAUGGCAAGAAAACAGGUGGAAUGCUUGGCCCAGAAAUUUAAAAUUGGUUCUUCACAUCACACUGGAUGUAAAUAUCGCACUAACCAACACCGUGUUGGUUUGGGAGCGAUGACGAUCGAGGCAAGGCGAGUGGACAAAAUUGAGCCGUGACGUAGUUUGAGGUGUUUGCUGUGAAAACCAUCAAAGGGAGAGCAAGCUAAAACCCAAAGCUGUGGCUUGGAGAUUCAGCAUUAUAUAACAGCCGAGAUGUCUUUCUUCCACUUCAAGGAGUCAUGUUUGAAAGUAAAUGGCACCAGUCAAAAGCCUAC